rnacentral:rRNA from 1 species
GCUCAGAUUGAACGCUGGCGGCAGGCCUAACACAUGCAAGUCGAACGGUAACAGGAAGCAGCUUGCUGCUUCGCUGACGAGUGGCGGACGGGUGAGUAAUGUCUGGGAAACUGCCUGAUGGAGGGGGAUAACUACUGGAAACGGUAGCUAAUACCGCAUAACGUCGCAAGACCAAAGAGGGGGACCUUAGGGCCUCUUGCCAUCGGAUGUGCCCAGAUGGGAUUAGCUAGUAGGUGGGGUAACGGCUCACCUAGGCGACGAUCCCUAGCUGGUCUGAGAGGAUGACCAGCCACACUGGAACUGAGACACGGUCCAGACUCCUACGGGAGGCAGCAGUGGGGAAUAUUGCACAAUGGGCGCAAGCCUGAUGCAGCCAUGCCGCGUGUAUGAAGAAGGCCUUCGGGUUGUAAAGUACUUUCAGCGGGGAGGAAGGGAGUAAAGUUAAUACCUUUGCUCAUUGACGUUACCCGCAGAAGAAGCACCGGCUAACUCCGUGCCAGCAGCCGCGGUAAUACGGAGGGUGCAAGCGUUAAUCGGAAUUACUGGGCGUAAAGCGCACGCAGGCGGUUUGUUAAGUCAGAUGUGAAAUCCCCGGGCUCAACCUGGGAACUGCAUCUGAUACUGGCAAGCUUGAGUCUCGUAGAGGGGGGUAGAAUUCCAGGUGUAGCGGUGAAAUGCGUAGAGAUCUGGAGGAAUACCGGUGGCGAAGGCGGCCCCCUGGACGAAGACUGACGCUCAGGUGCGAAAGCGUGGGGAGCAAACAAGAUUAGAUACCCUGGUAGUCCACGCCGUAAACGAUGUCGACUUGGAGGUUGUGCCCUUGAGGCGUGGCUUCCGGAGCUAACGCGUUAAGUCGACCGCCUGGGGGGUACGGCCGCAAGGUUAAAACUCAAAUGAAUUGACGGGGGCCCGCACAAGCGGUGGAGCAUGUGGUUUAAUUCGAUGCAACGCGAAGAACCUUACCUGGUCUUGACAUCCACGGAAGUUUUCAGAGAUGAGAAUGUGCCUUCGGGAACCGUGAGACAGGUGCUGCAUGGCUGUCGUCAGCUCGUGUUGUGAAAUGUUGGGUUAAGUCCCGCAACGAGCGCAACCCUUAUCCUUUGUUGCCAGCGGUCCGGCCGGGAACUCAAAGGAGACUGCCAGUGAUAAACUGGAGGAAGGUGGGGAUGACGUCAAGUCAUCAUGGCCCUUACGACCAGGGCUACACACGUGCUACAAUGGCGCAUACAAAGAGAAGCGACCUCGCGAGAGCAAGCGGACCUCAUAAAGUGCGUCGUAGUCCGGAUUGGAGUCUGCAACUCGACUCCAUGAAGUCGGAAUCGCUAGUAAUCGUGGAUCAGAAUGCCACGGUGAAUACGUUCCCGGGCCUUGUACACACCGCCCGUCACACCAUGGGAGUGGGUUGCAAAAGAAGUAGGUAGCUUAACCUU